rnacentral:rRNA from 1 species
UACAGAGGGCUCAAGCGUUGUUCGGAUUCAUUGGGCGUAAAGGGUGCGUAGGCGGCGGGGCAAGUCUGGUGUGAAAUCCCGGGGCUCAACCCCGGAACUGCACUGGAUACUGCUUUGCUAGAGUACUGGAGAGGGAACUGGAAUUUACGGUGUAGCAGUGAAAUGCGUAGAUAUCGUAAGGAAGACCAGCGGCGAAGGCGAGUUCCUGGACAGUUACUGACGCUGAGGCACGAAGGCCAGGGGAGCAAACGGG